GUGCUCACUUUGGCAACACAUAUACUAAAGCUGGAAUGGUACAGAGAAGAUUAGUAUGGCACCUGCACAAGGAUGACACAAAAAUUCAUGAAGCAUUCCAUAUUUUU
ensembl:snRNA U6 U6 spliceosomal RNA